rnacentral:rRNA from 1 species
GCUGGCGGCGUGCCUAACACAUGCAAGUCGUACGAGAAAUCCCGAGCUUGCUUGGGAGAGUAAAGUGGCGCACGGGUGAGUAACGCGUGGGUAACCCACCUUCGAAUCUGGGAUAACUCCGCGAAAGCGGUGCUAAUACCGGAUAAGACCACAGCCGUUUCGGCGGCAGAGGUAAAAGCUGACCUCUCCAUGGAAGUUAGCGUUCGAAGACGGGCCCGCGUCCUAUCAGCUUGUUGGUGGGGUAAAGGCCUACCAAGGCAGCGACGGGUAGCUGGUCUGAGAGGAUGAUCAGCCACACUGGAACUGGAACACGGUCCAGACUCCUACGGGAGGCAGCAGUGAGGAAUUUUGCGCAAUGGGGGAAACCCUGACGCAGCAACGCCGCGUGGGUGAAGAAGGCUUUCGGGUCGUAAAGCCCUGUCAGGUGGGAAGAAACUCUUCAGUACUAAUAAUGCUGAAGCCUGACGGUACCACCAGAGGAAGCACCGGCCAACUCCGUGCCAGCAGCCGCGGUAAUACGGAGGGUGCAAGCGUUGUUCGGAAUUAUUG